rnacentral:pre_miRNA from 1 species
CAGGGUUGGUGUCUCAGAAGGCAUUGUUAUUGAGGAGUCUCCACCAUGGCCUGGGCUCUGGUUCUCCUCACCCUCCUCACUCAGGGCAUGGGUGA